ACCUAAUAGAUACCCAGGUAGUCCACGCCCUAAACGAUGCGAACUGGAUGUUGGGUACAUUACGGUACUCAGUGUCGAUGCUAACGCGUUAAGUUCGCCGCCUGGGGAGUACGGUCGCAAGACUGAAACUCAAAGGAAUUGACGGGGGCCCGCACAAGCGGUGGAGUAUGUGGUUUAAAUUCGAUGCAACGCGAAGAACCUUACCUGGCCUUGACAUCUGUCGAAUCCUGCGGAGAUGCGGGAGUGCCGCAAGGAACGACAAGACAGGUGCUGCAUGGCUGUCGUCAGCUUGUGUCGUGAGAUGUUGGGUUAAGUCCCGCAACGAGCGCAACCCUUGUCCCUAGUUGCCAGCACAUCAUGGUGGGAACUCUAGGGAGACUGCCGGUGACAAACCGGAGGAAGGUGGGGAUGACGUCAAGUCCUCAUGGCCCUUACGGCCAGGGCUACACACGUACUACAAUGGUCGGUACAGAGGGUUGCGAAGCCGCGAGGCGAAGCCAAUCCCAGAAAACCGAUCCCAGUCCGG
rnacentral:rRNA from 1 species